CCUACGGGUGGCAGCAGUGGGGAAUAUUGGACAAUGGGCGAAAGCCUGAUCCAGCCAUGCCGCGUGUGUGAAGAAGGCCUUCGGGUUGUAAAGCACUUUCAGUGGGGAAGAAAGCCUUGGGGCUAAUACCCUCGAGGAAGGACAUCACCCACAGAAGAAGCACCGGCUAACUCCGUGCCAGCAGCCGCGGUAAUACGGAGGGUGCGAGCGUUAAUCGGAAUUACUGGGCGUAAAGCGCGCGUAGGCGGUCUGAUAAGCCGGUUGUGAAAGCCCCGGGCUCAACCUGGGAACGGCAUCCGGAACUGUCAGGCUAGAGUGCAGGAGAGGCAGGUAGAAUUCCCGGUGUAGCGGUGACAUGCGCAGAGAUCGGGAGGAAUACCAGUGGCGAAGGCGGCCUUCUGGACUGACACUGACGCUGAGGUGCGAAAGCGUGGGUAGCAAACAGGAUUAGAUACCCCAGUAGUC
rnacentral:rRNA from 1 species